rnacentral:rRNA from 1 species
GACGAACGCUGGCGGCGUGCUUAACACAUGCAAGUCGAACGGUGAAGCGCCUUCCUUUUUGGUGGGUGUGGAUGAGUGGCGAACGGGUGAGUAACACGUGAGUAACCUGCCCCCUUCUUCUGGAUAACCGCAUGAAAGUGUGGCUAAUACGGGAUAUUCUGGGUCUGUCGCAUGAUGGGUCUGGGAAAGAUAUUGUUUCGGUGGGGGAUGGGCUCGCGGCCGAUCAGCUUGUUGGUGGGGUGAUGGCCUACAAAGGCGGUUCGGGGUAGCCGGCAUGAGAGGGUGGAACGUAACACUAGGGAUAGGACACGGCGCAUACUUCUACAGGCGGCAGCAGUGGGGAAUAAUGCACCAUGGGCGCAAGCCUGCUGCAGCGGCGCCGCGUGAGAGAGGGAUUCCUUCGGGUUGUGAACCUCUUGCGGCUAUGAAGCAGGCCUGCCUCGAUUGUGAGUGGGUUGACGGUAGCUGGAUAAGAAGCCCCGGCUAACUACGUG